rnacentral:rRNA from 1 species
UACGUAGGUGGCAAGCGUUUAUCCGGAAUUAUUGGGCGUAAAGCGCGCGCAGGUGGUUUCUUAAGUCUGAUGUGAAAGCCCACGGCUCAACCGUGGAGGGUCAUUGGAAACUGGGAGACUUGAGUGCAGAAGAGGAAAGUGGAAUUCCAUGUCUAAGCGGUGAAAUGCGUAGAGAUAUGGAGGAACACCAGUGGCGAAGGCGACUUUCUGGUCUGUAACUGACACUGAGGCGCGAAAGCGUGGGGAGCAAACAGG